UACGUAGGGGGCAAGCGUUAUCCGGAUUUACUGGGUGUAAAGGGAGCGUAGACGGCAUGGCAAGCCAGAUGUGAAAUACCGGGGCUCAACCCCGGGACUGCAUUUGGAACUGUUAAGCUGGAGUGCCGGAGAGGUAAGUGGAAUUCCUAGUGUAGCGGUGAAAUGCGUAGAUAUUAGGAGGAACACCAGUGGCGAAGGCGGCUUACUGGACAGAAACUGACACUGAGGCUCGAAAGCGUGGGGAGCAAACAGG
rnacentral:rRNA from 1 species